UCCCUGGUGGUCCAGUGGCUAAGACUCCAUGCUCUCAACACAGGGGGCCCAGGUUUGAUCCCUGGUCAGGGAA
rfam:Ovis aries breed Texel chromosome 17, whole genome shotgun sequence.